UAAAAAUACUGGUAGACAAUAUCGAAA
rnacentral:piRNA from 1 species